UAUAAAUCGACUAUAUGUCAAUGAAAUUUUAAAAAAAUGAAAAGUAUAUACCUGGUUUCACAUCUUGGCUCUGUUGCUUACUAGGUAUGGAAUCCUGGGUUUCAAUAAUGAAACGUAAGCUGAUGAAUCUUCAAGAAUGCGCUCUCAAGAGAAGAUUCUGUAAGAUUUUUUUCUAACGUGGUAGUAUGUGGUCUUCUAAUCCAUGUGUGUUUCCGUGGAUCAGGAUUUCAGUAGCAGCUCGUCUGAGAAAUUCUGGCAUGGAGUCUCUCUUUAGGAUGCGGAGGGCUGGACUGCAUUCAUCUGUAUGCUUGCUUGGGACUGAAGCAUCUGUUUAUAAGAUGGCUCAUGUGUGGGGCUGCAAAGUCGAUGCUGGUUGCCAAUAAAAUGUCACAGUUUUUCUUCAUCUGAGCCUCUCAUGGGAUGCUUUAGUGUUCUCCAGUCACUGGUUGGGUUUCCUGGUUGAG
ensembl:lncRNA